UCCCCACAACAAAACAACCUUAGUUUAUUUGUUCAACAUGCAGAGUCAAUUGCCCUUUGUUCCCAUUGAUCUUACUGUCACAGGCCAACACAAACAUCAAAUCCAUUAAUUGACAUUUUACAUCACAUCUCAGCUUUCCCAACUUACUAGACUGAAUUGGGCAGCAAAUAAGCAUUAAAACUAUCUCAUGUAACCAGUCAACUUCAGGCACAGAGCAAAGGCACAAUUAGAACUCUCUAAAUCAAGUGCAAAAUGACAAAAUGUUGAACAGAAUGAGGGAGGAUCAAAUUGCAACACCAUGAGCCCACCAGCUUAUCUAUGAUGUAAAUAUAUGCAUUAGGCUUAGAUUGCUUCACUGUCAAGUAUCAGGCAAGGGUAGAGUGGCAACUGAAUACAUGAAGACAGGUCAACCAAGCACAUUCCAUCACAUACAUGUAGAAGGCAGAGAUUCUAAGAUUUUCAGUUCUACCCAAAUAGGAAAAUUCUGUACAAUGUACACACAACAUGAAGGUUCUUAACAAACUUAGCAAACUGCCUGACAAGAACAACAAGAUUCCCCACUAAAUUGAAAAGGAAAUUAAGAUUUUACCUAAUGACAAUGGAAGGAACCUGGAGCAGGAAGCAAGAAGAGAUGGAACACUGCAUCUGUUGCUGAUGCCUGCUUAAUUCAAAUUGAACUAUGAGAAAAGGACCACUUAACAAAAGAAAAUCACUAAGAAUGAUUAAAGAUGGGCACCCCAAGACUAGGUCAAGUUCUCUGACGCUGCCUCUCCUCAGCAACGUUUUUGGUGUUGAAGUGUAGUUCUUUAGGAUAAAGAGUUAUUGCUGCUCUAUCCGAAAUUAAAGAUAAUUAAACCUGCUAAUUGUUUCAAGCAAAUUGCGUUUGAAAGUGUAUCUGUUACUGUUCAUAAUCACAACAGAUGAUAUUUUUUUAGACUAAUUUCAUAUGUUCUUUUUAUUGUCUGUCAUUUUAUGCUUUUGGAAACCUUGCAAGAUAGACA